rnacentral:misc_RNA from 1 species
AAGUACUGGAAGUACGAGCAAAGAAUAUCUUCAGUGGGCAAGUUGAUACUCAAUUGCAAGUAAGUGGGUCCAUAUUGCAACCAAACAUUUCUGGGAAGAUGAAGCUGAGUCACGGGGAAGCAUACCUGCCACAUGACAAAGGUAGUGGAACUGCUCCUUUCAGUAGAGAGGCAUCUGAUCAAUCAAGACUUCCAGCUGGUGGUUACAAUCGUAUAGUUGCAUCAAAGUAUGUUUCACGCUUCCUCAGUUUAAAGCCUGCUGCUUCAGACAUUCAGUUCAAUCAAUCAUCAGGUAAAGAUGCUGAAGAUAUUAAAGAAAGUGUCCAAGUAGAGAGCAAACCUAAACUGGACGUCCGCCUCACUGACUUGAAACUUGUUCUGGGACCAGAACUGAGGAUAGUUUAUCCUCUGAUCCUCAAUUUUGCUGUCAGUGGAGAACUUGAGUUAAAUGGCGUUGCUCAUCCCAAGUCGAUAAAGCCUAAAGGCAUAUUAAUGUUUGAGAAUGGAG